rnacentral:rRNA from 1 species
UACGAAGGGUGCUAGCGUUGUUCGGAUUUACUGGGCGUAAAGCGCACGUAGGCGGAUCGAUCAGUCAGGGGUGAAAUCCCAGAGCUCAACUCUGGAACUGCCUUUGAUACUGUCGAUCUGGAGUAUGGAAGAGGUGAGUGGAAUUCCGAGUGUAGAGGUGAAAUUCGUAGAUAUUCGGAGGAACACCAGUGGCGAAGGCGGCUCACUGGUCCAUUACUGACGCUGAGGUGCGAAAGCGUGGGGAGCAAACAGG